UCCCGAUAGAGCCUCCGAUGCCCGGCCAUCGAUAUGUCAGAGACCCCGACUCACCACCGCCCCCUGUUGAGUACAUGGAUCAGGUGCUCGAGAUGGUAGCCUCACUUGAGAGGAUGGUCCUACGGAGGGAGGCGCAGUUGUCCAUCAUGGGCUUCCAGAUGCCCCCGGUAUAUGCUUAGGCGCAGGCCAGGCCACCUGGGCCUUCUCGGGGAGGUGGACCAUCCGGGCCUUUUCGAGGAGCUGGGCCAUCUGGGCCUUUUUGAGGAGCUGGAGGGGGGGUCGUCUCGUAGACGCAGAGCACACAUUGUAGAGGAGGAGCCCGAUGAGGAUGAGGAGGAGGAGGCUGCAGAUCAUCAGUCGGAGACACCUGCUGACAGAGA